GGAAGUAAAGUCGUAACAAGGUUUCCGUAGGUGAACCUGCGGAAGGAUCAUUACUGAGUGAGGGCCCCUCGGGGUCCAACCUCCCACCCGUGUUUAACGAACCUUGUUGCUUCGGCGGGCCCGCCUCACGGCCGCCGGGGGGCAUUUGCCCCCGGGCCCGCGCCCGCCGAAGCCACCUGUGAACGCUGUCUGAAGUAUGCAGUCUGAGACAAUUAUUAAAUUAAUUAAAACUUUCAACAACGGAUCUCUUGGUUCCG
rnacentral:misc_RNA from 1 species